CAGGAGACAGAGGGCCUCGAUCCCACAACACACUAGUUAACAGCUAGCACGCCUGACCAGUGGCACUAACUCC
rnacentral:tRNA from 1 species